rnacentral:rRNA from 1 species
AUUGAACGCUGGCGGCAUGCCUUACACAUGCAAGUCGAACGGCAGCGGACCUUCGGGUGCCGGCGAGUGGCGAACGGGUGAGUAAUGUAUCGGAACGUACCUUUCAGUGGGGGAUAACGUAGCGAAAGUUACGCUAAUACCGCAUAUUCUGUGAGCAGGAAAGCAGGGGAUCGCAAGACCUUGCGCUGAUUGAGCGGCCGAUAUCAGAUUAGCUAGUUGGUGAGGGAAAGGCUCACCAAGGCGACGAUCUGUAGCGGGUCUGAGAGGAUGAUCCGCACGACGGGAACUGAGACAAGCUCCAGACUCCUACGGGAGGCAGCAGUGGGGAAUUUUGGCCAAUGGGGGCAGCCCUGAUCCAGCCAUGCCGAGUGAGUGAAGAAGGCCUUCGGGUUGUAAAGCUCUUUUGUCCGGGAAGAAAUCGCAUCAGCUAAUACCUGGUGUGGAUGACGGUACCGGAAUAAGAAGCACCGACUAACUACGUGCCAGCCGCCGCCGUAAAAC